UACGGGGGGGGUAAGCGUUGUUCGGAAUUACUGGGCGUAAAGGGCUCGUAGGCGGCCAACUAAGUCAGACGUGAAAUCCCUCAGCUUAACUGGGGAACUGCGUCUGAUACUGGAUGGCUUGGAUUUGGGAGAGGGAUGCGGAAUUCCAGGUGUAGCGGUGAAAUGCGUAGAUAUCAAGAGGAACACCUGCGGCGAAGGCGGGUUGCUGGGCUGACACUGACGCUGACAGCGCGAAAGCUAGGGGAGCGAACGGG
rnacentral:rRNA from 1 species